GACGAACGCUGGCGGCGUGCCUAAUACAUGCAAGUUGAGCGCUGAAGGUUGGUACUUGUACCGACUGGAUGAGCAGCGAACGGGUGAGUAACGCGUGGGGAAUCUGCCUUUGAGCGGGGGACAACAUUUGGAAACGAAUGCUAAUACCGCAUAAAAACUUUAAACACAAGUUUUAAGUUUGGAAGAUGCAAUUGCAUCACUCAAAGAUGAUCCCGCGUUGUAUUAGCUAGUUGGUGAGGUAAAGGCUCACCAAGGCGAUGAUACAUAGCCGACCUGAGAGGGUGAUCGGCCACAUUGGGACUGAGACACGGCCCAAACUCCUACGGGAGGCAGCAGUAGGGAAUCUUCGGCAAUGGACAAAAGUCUGACCGAACAACGCCGCGGGAGUGAAGAAGGUUUUCGGAUCGUAAAACUCUGUUGGUAGGGAAGACCGUUGGGGAGGGUGGAAAGCUCAUCAAGUGGCGGUAACUACCCAGAAAGGGACGGCUAACUACGU
rnacentral:rRNA from 1 species